UACGUAGGGGGCUAGCGUUGUCCGGAUUUAUUGGGCGUAAAGAGCGUGUAGGCGGCCAGAUAGGUCUGCUGUGAAAACUCGAGGCUCAACCUCGAGAUGUCGGCGGAAACCAUUUGGCUAGAGUCCGGAAGAGGAAAGUGGAAUUCCUGGUGUGGCGGUGAAAUGCGCAGAUAUCAGGAAGAACACCCGUGGCGAAGGCGGCUUUCUGGGACGGUACUGACGCUGAGACGCGAAAGCGUGGGGAGCGAACAGG
rnacentral:rRNA from 1 species